AUCCAUCGGGCGAGAGUCGAACUCAGACCUUACCGGUGAGAGCCGUAAGUCCUAACCACUAGACCACAGUGGA
rnacentral:tRNA from 1 species